GAUGAACGCUGGCGGCGUGCCUAAUACAUGCAAGUCGAGCGAACAGACGAGGAGCUUGCUCCUCUGACGUUAGCGGCGGACGGGUGAGUAACACGUGGAUAACCUACCUAUAAGACUGGGAUAACUUCGGGAAACCGGAGCUAAUACCGGAUAAUAUAUUGAACCGCAUGGUUCAAUAGUGAAAGACGGUUUUGCUGUCACUUAUAGAUGGAUCCGCGCCGCAUUAGCUAGUUGGUAAGGUAACGGCUUACCAAGGCAACGAUGCGUAGCCGACCUGAGAGGGUGAUCGGCCACACCGGAACUGAGACACGGUCCAGACUCCUACGGGAGGCAGCAGUAGGGAAUCUUCCGCAAUGGGCGAAAGCCUGACGGAGCAACGCCGCGUGAGUGAUGAAGGUCUUCGGAUCGUAAAACUCUGUUAUUAGGGAAGAACAAAUGUGUAAGUAACUAUGCACGUCUUGACGGUACCUAAGCAGAAAGCCACGGCUAACUACGU
rnacentral:rRNA from 1 species